AUGAAGUCAGCUUAUCCCGAAACAACCAUUUUUCAAUCACAUCCUAAAUUCAAACACAUUCUAAAUUCUGCGGAUCUGAUAUCAUGUCAAUGUACAUUGCAUAAAGUCACAUUGUAUUAACUGCAACACCUGCAGAAAUGCCUACCUUGAUUAAUUGUCAGAUUUUUUUCCCAGAAAAACAAUCAUAAACUGUUUGUUUUAUGUGUAACAAUGUAAAUUGUCCAACUUCAAUUAUAUCAAAAUAGUCACUUGUUUUAAAUAGUGAGAAAAAAAUCAAACUAAGUUAGAUUAUUUAUAAAGUAUUGGCUACAGAGUUUUACCAUUUACCUCAGUCUUAGGUGUAUUAGAAAUGACUAUUUAUAUGGUGUACCACUAAAUAUUCAUCAGAUUUUACAUAGGGUUCCUUAUUAAUAAAAUCUUAAUUUGUUACCAAGAUUUUUCAAGGGACGUCAGCAGAAUAGAUUUUUUGUAAGUGAUAUCAGCUGGCAGAUCAAGACAAGUUUUCUCCAAAUCCCUCCAGAGGCGUGCACGUCGCGGAGAAGGCAUACGGCAGGUCAAGGUCAAAUCAUCUCAAGUACCAGAGGUGAUUGGUUGACCUGUUGUGACUAACUCUGGAGGGUGGCGCUAAUAAAAGCCGUUUUAUGUCAACCGCCUGUUUGCAGCCGUCACGGAACUUGAAGCUUUUCCAGUAUUGUCUUUCCUCCAUCGAACGAAGUACAGGACUUAGGAAGAUCGGCAUGAAAAAGACGUCCCCGAUGAGACUUCUAGAGUGGACCGGCAUGGACGCUGAGAUCUUGGACAUAUGGAAUUUCCGGCGCCGAGCUAAAAUAAACUUAAUUGAACAAGUUUCCAUAUAUGGUAAUAUCAUAAAGUAGCGAAGGUAAAAUGGCUGUUAUGGUUGGCUGCAUUUAUCAUUUUGCACCUCAUUUAGCAUACUAAGAAGUGACACCUUCAACUGGCUUUUUUGACACAUGAAGAGUAGCUAUACGAAGGGAAUGCGUUGUACUGUACAUAUGUUAUAACAUUAAGUGUAAAGUUUCUUAAAUCAUGAAAAAAAAAAAACUGUCGAAAAUCAUUGAAUACACUGUUGUGACUUUUUUACAGUUAUCAGUAGCCCUGAUACAUCUUGAACACUUUUUUUCAGUUGUGUAAAUGCUGUUUAAAUUUAGGUCAAAAUACUCCUGGGAAUGACCUAAAUGGGUCAUAUUAUUUUUAUUUAUUUUCUAAGCAAUAUUGAAAAUAUACCAGCCUUAAAAUUAAUAAAUGUUUAUAGACGCCUAAUAGCUAAAUAAAUUUAAAGCAAUAUUUCUCCUUCCAUUUAUAAUUGGCUAAAAAUUGCUCAACUGAUUGAAUAUUAGUUGUUCCGGGAUACCUUCUGUAAAUUUUGAUCGAGUAGUCUCGGAUUUUUUUUAAUGGAAAAUCAAGUUGCUCUUAGCUGCGUUUGAUUUCUGCUAUGAAUAUGUGGUUCUCUUUCAUAAUCAAGUCGGGCUACAAGAAACAUGGCGGAACCAAAGAAAAUGUCGAAGAUGUCAAAUGUCGACUACGAAAAACUUGAAGACGUUCAAAAGAUGUACAUUAAGAGACUUGAACGUGGAAACAAAGAAAGAGCUAGAAAUCUUGUUUAUCACAGAAGUCAUAGAGGAAAAAUGGGCGGGGUUCUAUUUGCCAGUGUAAUAGGAAUAUAUUUUUAUACAAUGUAUGCUGUGAAACAAGAACGACUUGGUGACGAGUAUGAUCAAAGAUAUGAAGACCAACUGGCGAAAAAAACGUAACAGACAUUUCCAAAAGGAGAUUGGGGGAAAAAAGACAAAAGUGAUAAAAACCAUUGUGUUAUGUGAUAAACCAAUAAAAUUAAUGAAUGUGUGCUUCGUGUUUCAUAAAGAAUGUGUCACAUAAUUUAUCUCAAUGGUGCUUUAUUUCGAGCAAUAGUUUAGGACAUAAUCAUUGUGUUACAGUACUGAUUCUGAAUCACCCAACUUUUACCUCGGAACAAGUUGUUACAGUACUGAAUUGCCCAACUGAUAUCGGAGAACAUUUUGACAGUUUAAACUUUUACAUUAGAUUGAUAUACAUCAGAUAGAUUUUCUGUAUGUUGAAUCAGUUUGAAUUACUUUGUAAACAAACAGCAGUUUUAAUAUUCAUACAUCUUGAUAUGAUUAAUUUGUUUGAAGUUUUUAAAAAGGCAUUAUUAGUUACUUAUACUAAUAUUAAUAAAACUGGUGUUUUUUUUCUAAAGGAAUAAUUUGAACAAUUUUCAGGUGAAAGAAUAUUGACAAAACAAAAAUAAAUAAAUUUCUUAAAAAGUUUUUAUAUUUUUAUUGAAUGUACAUAAUAACUUAUGCUUUGUUGAUAUUCUGUAAAUAUUUUGUUCUUCUGGAUAAAAUAGAAUUAUAAAAGAAAUGUAUC